GGUGGAAUAGCUCAGUGGUAAAGUGUGUGCUUAGCAUGCAUGGGGUCCUGGGUUCAAACCUCAGUACCUCCA
rnacentral:tRNA from 1 species